CCUACGGGUAGCAGCAGUGAGGCAUAUUGGUCAAUGGACGCAAGUCUGAACCAGCCAUGCCGCGUGCAGGAAGACGGCUCUAUGAGUUGUAAACUGCUUUUGUACGAGGGUAAACGCAGAUACGCGUAUCUGUCUGAAAGUAUCGUACGAAUAAGGAUCGGCUAACUCCGUGCCAGCAGCCGCGGUACUACGGAUGAUUCAAGCGUUAUCCGGAUUUAUUGGGUUUAAAGGGUGCGUAGGCGGUCGGAUAAGUUAGAGGUGAAAUCCCGAGGCUCAACUUCGGAAUUGCCUCUGAUACUGUUCGGCGAGAGAGUAGUGGCGGUAGGCGGAAUGUAUGGUGUAGCGGUGAAAUGCUUAGAGAUCAUACAGAACACCGAUUGCGAAGGCAGCUUACUGGACUGCAACUGACACUGAGGCUCGAAAGUGUGGGUAUCAAACAGGAUUAGAUACCCGUGUAGUC
rnacentral:rRNA from 1 species